CAAAAACAAACUAGGUAUAAUAAUAAAAACUUAAUUUAUCUCCAUUUUUUUAAUGACCAAGUUGUAUUCCAAUAAUUGAAGGGGAAAUAGAGACCACUUGUCUUCUAAAAAAUACCGUUGGCCUUCGCUGGUUUCCUCACUCAAAACCACCACCAAGAAGCCUUUAGCCUCUGGUUUUUCUCCUACAAUUUUGGUACACUCACCUAUAUAACCAAACCCCUUUACUCCCAUUUCCUUCAUCAAAUCAUUGCUCCUGAUAUCUUAAUCUCUUCAAAUCCCACUUCAAAGAGUUUCCAACUCGUUGGUUCUAUAUUACAGUAACAUGAAAAAUGAGUUCAGCGAGUAAAGCUUGGUUGGUUGCAGCAGCUGUUGGAGGUGUCGAGGCCUUGAAAGACCAAGGGUUCUGUAGGUGGAGCUACACCUUGAGAUCCCUUCACCAACAUGCCAAGAACCAUGUCAGAUCAGCCUCUCAGGCCAAGAAGCUUUCUUCUUCAUCCUCUGCCAUGAUCUCGAAUAAAAUCAAGGAAGUGACAGCAAAACAGUCGGAGGAAUCUCUAAGAAAAGUCAUGUAUUUGAGCUGUUGGGGUCCUUCCUAAAGCUAAGAAGCAAGAUGGAAUUGAGAAAAUUAUCGUGAUAGGAUUACCCUGAUCGUUGCAAGUUGAUGUAAAUAUUUGUAAAUUUUGGUACUGACUUAAUGGAAUCAAACUAUAUUAUUUCUUGAUUAAUUUUUCCUUGCACCAUUUAUUUUUUUCUGUUUUCCCACUUCUUUUGGAAAGGAUCAUGAAAAGGUUCAAUUUUAGUGCAUCACAGCAUUUGCUAAGGAUAUUUGAAUCAAUUGCAAUCUCAAGAUAGAAUCUAAAUUCUAAUUUGGUUAAGAAAAUCUAUUAAAACAAAAUCCAGGUCUAACUUUGACUGGUUUUUUAAUGACAUAUAUAUUAUCUGUUAAAUGAAGAUCAAUAGGGCUUAUUUAUUUAAAUGUCAGAACUUUUGAACUUUCAAGAAAAUUGGAAUGUGGCAAAAUGGUUGAACCUGACAAAAAAAAAAAGUAUUUUCUUGAAUAUCUGAAAAAUGAAUUAGCUCGUAAGAAAUAAUUAUUUUGAAGUGAAUAGUGUUUCGUAACAUUAGAGAAUCCACUUGCUCACUGCUCAGGUCGUUUAUGCGUCAAAAUUUUGCUGGAUGCCAAGUCUUUAGAACGCUCGAUUAAGGAGAGCUUGAGAGUUCAGAACUUUGUAUUUUGUGACGCAUGCAAUGGAUCUACAAGACUACAAGUAUUGUCUGUCCUUUACUCAAGCCCCACUGCUGAAGAAAAACAAGUGGAUUUGCCUCCUAUACUUGAGGCUCACUUCGGAUUUUUAUAAAGCAAACCGUGUGCUCUUUACCAAAACAUGGCCCCGCUCUAGCAACAUGAUAAGAUGCAUGAAAAAGAAAUGUAUUUAUAAUUCCACCAAGUGGUCCUUGAUAGACAUAAAGAUUCAGUCCCAUCAUAGCAUAACCACGAUAAAAUAAUACCACUGGCUCCCUUAAACCAAAACCAGCAACCACAGCUUGCUCCUUGCUUCCGGUUUCCUCCCAAUUUCUGGCAAUUAGUUCCCAACUCUCUUUAUAAGCAAAUCCCAGUUUGCCAUUUACACCAUCGACACGGAUUCUGAAUCACAUCUCAUCGUUUUCAACUAAAAAUCCCACAUCAAAGAGUUUCCAACUAUUGUUCUAUUUUAUAUUACAGAGAAAAUGAGUUCAGCAAGUAAAGCUUGGUUGGUAGCUGCUGCUAUUGGAGGUGUUGAGGCCUUAAAAGACCAAGGCUUCUGUAGGUGGAACUACACAUUGAGAUCGCUACGCCAGCAUGCCAAGAACCAUGUCGGGUCAAUUUCUCAGGCUAAUAAGAAGCUCCCUUGUUCAUCUUCUGCCAUUAUUUCAAAUAAAUUCAAGGAAGAGAAGGCGAAACAGUCAGAGGAGUCUCUAAGAAAAGUCAUGUAUUUGAGUUGCUGGGGUCAAAACUGAUACUCUCAAGAAAGAAGAAAUUCUGAGGAAAUCAGUUCAUAGGAUUAGAGUAAAUUUUUGCAAGUUGAUUUAAACUGUAAAUGCUUGUGCUGAUUGCCAAUCAAAUAUAUCUCAUUUUAUUGGCAAAAUUUUGGGAAAAUGGCCUUAAAGUAACAUUAACAAAGGAUAUGGCUCAUGUUAAAAAAAAAACCAGCAACUCAAUUGGAGGAGGAGUUGAUAAAUUAGGACAAAUCUUAAACUGGAAUUCUCAAUUUCAAUUUGGCCCAGAAGAAAAUUAGUUUAGGAAUAUUUCUUUACUCACAAGUGUUCACGGCAGGGUGAUGAUCACUGUAUGUGAAAUUAAACAGGCCUUUAAAUUACAAAAGAAUUGUAUAAAUAAUUAACCCGAAGAAUUUGUGAAUAAUUAUCUGAUGAAUUUAUGAAAAACUUUCACACAGAAAUUGGGUUUUUAAAGACAACAAUUAUAGAUGAGAGAUGUAUGGGGGUCUAAAUAUGGGAUUAGCCUUAAAAAAUAUCGAUCUUGGGACGUGAAGAAUUUCAAACCAAUUGAUUUGGUGAAAACUUUGGUGUUAUCAUUGAUGUUAGCAAAACGUUAUCUAGAAAAAGCUAUUGGUAUAGAAAAUAUAUACUUGAUUUUCAUAGACGUGUGAUUAUUGGCUUGAUGUUUGGAUCACGACCCCAACAAUAACAAGAAGGCGAAGGUUUAUUGCCAUUUGGGCCAACAAAAACAAUUUUGUUCUGGUAAAAAUGUAUGCCAUCAUUUUCCUCUCAUGUUUUUUAAACAAAUAUGCUCGAAAGACAUGAAAAGAAAAGAAAAAAAUUAGAAAAAGAAAACUUGUUUUGUAUAGAGUUUACAAGUGUAGAUAGUUUUUGUUAAAAGUUUUUGCAAGAAAGAACAAAGUUUAAUUAUCUUGCUUAGAGGUAGUUUAGUAAAAAAAAAGAGUGGAAAAGUAAGCAAUAUGAUAUCUGAAUGAGUGUACAAGUUCAAGACGCCUUACAUGAGAAGUCCAAGUUUAAUUAUCAUGUUUUGGAGACAGGUAGUCAAAAAGACUUGAAGAAAGAUUUGUGAUUUUUUUUAUAGAUUUGUGAUUUUUUUUAUAGACAAGUGGUUAUAGAAUAAUGAAAAAGGAUAUCUUAUACUUUAAAAAAUAUAUGAUCAUGGUGUUUUGGAGACAUUUAUGAAGAUUCAAUUAAGACAUGAAGAUUCUAGUGUGAAAAAUUAAAGAAGCUAGAGUUUAUUUUCAAUAUAAGUUAUAUAUUUAUUACACUGAAUAGGCUAAUUUGUUUUUUUUGUUUAUUGUAAUUUCAUGCUUGCAAGAGUUAUUUUUCAAUGUUAUUGUGUAAUAUAUAUAUAUAUAUAUAUUCAAUUACUAUCUUUGUCUAUUUUUUUAUUGUCUAUUUAAAAUAAAACUAACUUAUUAAAUUUAAAUGAGGCUAUAACCUGAGUUAUUUGUUUUUUUUAUUUCUUUUAAAUGUGCUUGUGACACCUAGAUUAUAGUUGUCUUUUUUUUAUUUUUUUAUUUUAUUUUUUAUUUUAAUUGAUACCUUUUUUAAAAAAUAUAUAUAUUUUUUAAUUUAUAUUUGCAUUAAUAUCUCUUCUCAAUUAUUUUUUAUUUUUAAUUGAUUUUUCCUUCAAUUUCAUCCAUAUCCUUUGGUUUAAUUUGAUUUUCAAAUCAAACUUAUUCCUUAUUCUUUUGAUAUUUUUAAACUUUUUUAUAAAUUGAUUUUUUUUCAAUUACAUUCCUUGGCAUUUAAUUUCAAUUGAUUUUUCUAUUAAAUUUGGUUCCCGUUAUUUGUUUUUCUUCUUGUCUUCUAUGGGGUUAGUCUCAUCCUCAUUACAAGGGUCACGAGUUUCGAAGGUUAACAUUGGUUAACUUCAAUUUUUUUAGGUUCUUUUAUCAAAUUGAUUUAUUUUUAAUUUUAUCCUUUAAUAUUUGAUUUUUUUAAUUAAUUUUUUUUAUCUUUCUUUAUAUGGGGUUAUCUCAAUUCUAUGCCCAUAGUCUUAGAGUUAGUGCCUUAAUCCAAGUUAAAUCAUAUAUACAUAUAAUUUUCUUAGUUCCAUUGCUAAGGAUCUUUUUGUUGAGAAUUUUGCUUCAUUGUUUUUUUUUGUUUGCCUUCCAUGCAGUCGGUCUUAGUCUCAUAACCACGGUUAUGGAUUUUAAAAGUUAACAUUUGUUAAUUUUGAUUUGUUUAGGUUUUUUUUAAAAUUGAUUUUUUUUUAAUUUUAUCAUUCAACAUUUAAAUUUUUGGGAUUGAUCUUCAUACUUUUUUUUUUCACUUUUCAUUUCAUGGAGCUAUCUCAAUCUAAUGCCCAAAAUUGUGAAGUUAGUGAGUUAAUCUAGAUUGACCAAAAUCUUUUUUUAUUGAUUUUUUUAAAAUAUUUAUUUUUAGUUGUCACUCAAUAUUAGAUUGUUUGAGUUUCAUAUUUUUUUCAAUUUGUUUUUGUUAACAAUUCUUUGUAUUGUUUAUUGGCACGAAUAAUCUUUUAAUUAAACAAAAAGUUUAUUCUAUAAAACAAAGUUAUUGAACAUAAGUAAGUAGAUAACAUGGGUUGCAUGAUCAAAUAUUUUAAUCUUAAUAAGUCAUUGAUUAAAUAUUAAUUUAUUUAAUUAAAUAUAUGUAUAAAUAUUUUAAUAUAUGAUUGAGAAUUUUUUAUAUAAAAAACAUGAAGAAAAACUUAUUUAUUCUUUAUUUUUUUAUUAAAAAAUUAAGAUAUAUAAUCCUCUACGAAGCGCUGUUGAAAUAGUUUAUUGUAGUUUUCUAGACCAUCACAAUUGUUUACAGACAGUCCUCACUAUUACUUCAAUUGUCUUCAAAAACAGUCUUGCCCAAAACAAAACAUUGAUUGAUAAGUGACAAACCCCAUUUGUUUAAUGCGUGUGACUCAGAGCAGAGACAAGUUUGAUAUUAGAAUAAAUGGAUUUAAAUAAUAUUUUAUUAUUUUUUAAAAAAAUAUUUUUAACUUUUUCAUAUUAAAAUGAUUUAAAAAUAAUAAUAAAAAAUAUAUUUUUUUUUAAAGCAAAAACAAACUAGGUAUAAUAAAAAAACUUAAUUUAUCUCCAUUUUUUUAAUGACCAAGUUGUAUUCCAAUAAUUGAAGGGGAAAUAGAGACCACUUGUCUUGUAAAAAAUACCGUUGGCCUUUGCUGGUUUCCUCACUCAAAACCACGACGAAGAAGCCUUGAGCCUCUUGUUUUUCUCCCACACUUUUGGUACACUCACCUAUAUAACCAAACCCCUUUACUCCCAUUUACUUCAUCAAAUCAUAGCUCCUGAUAUCUUAAUCUCUCCAAAUCCCACUUCAAAGAGUUUCCAACUUGUUGGUUCUAUAUCACAGUAACAGAGAAAAUGAGUUCAGCAAGCAAAGCUUGGUUGGUUGCAGCAGCUGUUGGAGGUGUUGAGGCGUUGAAAGACCAAGGGUUCUGUAGGUGGAACUACACCUUGAGAUCCCUGCACCAACAUGCCAAGAACCAUGUCAGAUCAGCCUCUCAGGCCAAGAAGCUUUCUUCUUCAUCCUCUGCCAUGAUCUCGAAUAAAGUCAAGGAAGUGAGAGCAAAACAGUCUGAGGAAUCUCUAAGAAAAGUCAUGUAUUUGAGCUGUUGGGGCCCUUACUAAGCAAAGAAGCCACAUGAAAUUGAGGAAAUUAUCGUGAUAGGAUUAGCCUGAUUGUUGCCAGUUGAUGUAAAUUGAUUUUUAAAUAUUGUUGCUGACUUCAUGGAAUCAAACCAUAUUAUUUUUGGAUUAGUUUUUCCUUGCACCAUUUAUUUUAUAGUUUCUGUUUUCCCAUUUCUUUUCUCAGGCCCUCAUGUCGCAAAGUGAAAAGGAUCAUGACAAGGUUAAUUUUAGUGCACCACAGCUUAAAAAAAAAUUGAGGGGCAUUUGUAUUCAAAGAUAUUUGCAUCAAUCGGAAUCUCACUACAAUCUAAAUUAUAAUUUGGUAAAAAUAAAAAUUCAAUUCAAGAAAAAUUAGAUUCGAUUUAGAACUUAUACUGGUUUUUCAAAGACAUAAAUGGAUUAAGAAAUAAUUAUUGGACUUAUCCCCUUUUUGGAGCCGAAAGGAAGUUCAUUAGUCUUUUGGUUUUUUGCAUAAAUGAAGAUGAAUAGGGAUUAUUUUCUUCAAUGUCAAAACUUGUGAAAUUUCAAGAAACUUGGGAAUGCUGCAAAAUGGUUGAACUGGCACAAAAAAAUUAGUAUUUUCUUGAAUCUCUGACAGAUGAAUUAGAUCGCAAGAAAUACUUUUUUUUGAAGUGAAUAAUGUUUCGUAACGUAAGAGAAUCAUUUCUCUACUACUCGUAAAAACAUAAAUUAUUUGGAUUCUUUUUUUUAAGGUUUAGCUAUAUCUAUUGGUGUAAAUAUUAUAAUAACUUUUUUUAUGUAAAAUUAGCAGUUUGUUUUAUAAAACAUUUAGCAAAAUAAUAUCAUUUAAAAAAGAUUUGAUUAAAUAACAUGUUUUUAUCAUAUCAUGCCAAAUAUGAUAUUUAUUAAAUGUUGUUAUUUGUAGAAGUAACAAAUUGAAACUCCAAUCAUCUAGCUCAACAGGUUAAUUAAUUGAAUUAAGUUAUAGUAGUUAUAUAAACUGAUCGAUGUUUUCAUAUAAAAAUGAUAAUUUAAUGAAUUUUAUUAAAAUAUUUUUUAUGAAUCAAAAUAUAUAUCUUUUUUCAACUUAUAUACAAAAAAAUAGAUUUUAAUUAAAAUCUUAAAAUAUUAUUAUUCACAUAGUGAUUGUCCUUUGUUUUUCAUUGUCAAUGAUGUAGCUAUAUUUGCAAUAACUGGUAAUUCUAAAUAAUCAGAUGCAACUCUGCUGUAACUAAAUGAGAUUUGGCCCAAACAUAUUAUUUGGAUAGCUUUGCAUUUGUGAACUAAUAGGACAUGUAUAAACUUAGAAAGAAGGUCUAAUUAUACCAUAACAAAAUAAUGCUUAAAAGAACCAUAACUUUUGAUUAGACACUUAAAUUCUUUACAUGAGUUUUCAGAGGAAGUUUUUUCUAUUGUAGCUACUGUAUCGCUAUAUGAACCGUUAGAUUUUUAAAUAUAAAAAAUCUAGUUGAGUCACUUUGAUUUUAAUAACUUUGAGAUUUUUUUUGUUAUUUUUCGAAUCGAUCAACUGGUUUCACUGACCAUUAUGAAUCGGUUGAGCCAGAUAAUUGAAAUUUCACCUUGUCAUGUUUUAAAAGUGUGAUAUUUAUUAAAUGUCGCUAUUAUUUUAAUUUUUUUAAAAAUAAUAAUAUUUAAUAAAUAUUAUAUUUUUAAAGCACAAUAAAAUCAAAAUAUGCCAUUUCAUAAAAAAAAAAAUCUUCUCUGUUAAUUUGCCAAUUGUUUUGAUUUUAUUCACUAAUUUCCUAAUUUAUCCCUUUUUUUCCGUAACACAGCUAGCUAUAAUGUGCGGGUUCUUCAUUUAUUUAUUUUUCUCAACUGUGAUACAUAACAAUUAAUUUUUUUUCCACGUUUGUUAUUUUGGAAAAAAAAAAAUCGUAUCUUGUGACACAUGCAAUGGAUCUACAAUUAUUAUUGUCUUCAGGAGGUAAUCCUGUCCGUUCCCUGUUUUUGAGUAGAUGCCUAGACAAAUGCUAAAAUGCUAUCCUUCCAGCCCCACUACUAAAGAAAAACAAGUGGAUUUGCCUCCAAUACUUGAGGCUCAAUUUUGAUUUUUAUAAAGCAAACCGUGUGCCUCUUACCAAAAACAAGUCCCCACUCCAGCUUUGUCGUAAUUGAAUAUGAUAAGAUGCAUGAAAAAGAAAUCCCCCAUUUUUUCUCCAUUUGUAUUUAAUGCCACCAAGUGGUCCUUGAUGGACAUAAAGAUUCAGUCCCAUCCUAGCCUAACUGCACUAAAAUAAUACCACUGGCUUUAACUUGUGCCAAAACCACCAGCCACAGCUUAUCCCUGGCUUCCGGUUUCCUCCAAUUUUCGGGUCCUCUAGUCCCCUCCUCUCUAUAUAAGCAAUCCCCAGCUUGUCAUCUCCACCAUCAAACACCAUUUCCCUUCUCAAUUACAUCUCAACUUUUUCAAAACGUUGUCCAUCUUCUAGCUCUUCAGUUCAAUCGAAAGAAAUAGAAAAAUGAGUUCAACAAGCAAAGCUUGGGCUGUUGCCACUAGUAUUGCAGCUGUGGAGGCUUUGAAAGAUCAAGGAUUUUGCAGAUGGAACUACACAAUAAGAUCACUAUACCAACAUGCCAAGAACCAAGGCAAGUCAUCCUCUCUGCCCAAGAAGCUCUCUUCUCCAGCUUCUACUGUGGUUGCCGGUAAAGUAAGAGAGAAUCAGAAAGCAAGGCAAUCCGACGAGUCACUGAGGCAGGUCAUGUACUUGAGUUGCUGGGGUCCUUACUAGCCAGGCAGUGAACUACCAGCAAGGAACUAUGGCCAUGCAUGCACUGGUUGCAGCAUAGAGACAAUCGAAGUCUUUCCAAGAGAGACUUAUUUGGAGAAACAUGACAAGGCCGACUUCUUAUGACGAUGGACGCUGGAACCCAUCAACGAUUAGUCAGCUUCAUUUGAAUGUUAUGCUCUAGCAAUAUAUGUUUCAAUCAAUUGUAGCCCAAUGAAUUGCUGAAUGAUGGGAGCAAAUUCUUUCCAUUGCUGCAACAACUUGCAAGUGAUGUAAAUUGUAAUUUUUCAGAAUGUAACGGCAUUUAAAUUAAGACUCAAUUGAAUCAGUAAGCUAAUUACAUGAGUGGAUUAAAGUCUUGUUCUCUGCUUUUAGCCCAUAGGGAAUAAUUACUACAACGUCAAAACCUGUGUGCCUUCAUGAAACUUGGACUGUGGCAGAGUGGAUGAACCUCACACGACACUUUCUACUAUAAGUUUAUAUAUUGGGAUUAGGCUGCAGUCAAGUCUUGAGUAACAAAAAUUAAACCGGGUGGGGUUUUUUAUUGUGGCAGUGUGCGACAUCGCGGCGAAAAAUAUAAGUGUUUUUCAUUUUAAAUCGACAAUGUAAAUCUAUAUCUAUUUUAAAUCUACAAUGUAAAUCUAUAUCUAUUUGGCAAAUGGAGAGACAAGAAAUUCUUGUUUUUUGUUGGUGGAAAAUGGAAUGGGAGUCGUCACCUAGUAUUUUGGUCACUAGAAAUUUUAACUGGUCUCAGAGAUCGGGCACGGGGACUGGUUGCGUAAAGAGAAGGUAUUAGCACCCCAAAUACGCCUUACCUAAGAUAAGCUGCAUUAUUUUAUUGUCUGAUAAAAUCUAAGGUCUUUUCGUGUUUUCCUAGUUGUUGGUAUAGUUCAAGAAAAGUCCUCCUCGGUAAGGAGAUCCUUAUCUUAAUGGGUAAUUCUGACGUUAACAAAAGAAUUUAAUAUUCAGAAUAUGUCUUACGUAUAAGAUCGUAACCCCAAAUACUAAGUCCUCCUCGGUAAGGAGAUCCUUAUCUUAAUGGGUAAUUCUGACGUUAACAAAAGAAUUUAAUAUUUGGAAUACGUCUUACGUAUAAGAUCGUAACCCCAAAUACUAAAAGAAAACACAAUAAUUUUUUUGGAAGUUUUGAAAUAUUGGUCUAGUUCUCAUGGCUUGAAUAAACUGGUUAUUAAAGCCAACAUGCAUGUUAAUACAUAUAUUGUUUUGAAGUUUCCUUUGUUGCGUGAAAAUACGAUGUUAUAAUAUUUAUAUAUAUAUAUUGGAGAGACUAGGCCGUAUGCAUUAAAACAAAAACAUUUUUUUUAUAUAUAUAUUUUUGAUGUUUUGACGAAAACCGGGUAUUUUAAUACUUGAUUUGUAUCUUUACGGUAUAAAAAUACAAACCAAUAUUAAACCAUUUUGACAAAAAAAUAUGCAGGAAAAUCAUAGGAUUUUUUAUAAUAUAUUUUUUUGAAAGCAAAACAUUUUUUAUUUUAAAAUUUUUUGAUGUUUUGACGGAAACCGAGUAUUUUAAUACUAGAUUUGUAUCUUUACAGUAUAAAAAUACAAACCAAUAUUAAACCAUUUUGACAAAAAUAUGCAGGAAAAUAAACAAUAUUUUUUUCAAAUAUUUUUUAGAAUAUUUCUUUUUAUUUUAUACACACACAUAAUAUAAAACAAUAUAAUAUAUAAUAUAAUAUAUAAUAUAAUAUAUAAUAUAAUAUAUUAUGUGGGCUGGGCCGACCCAAAUAAAUGGGCCAGGCUCAGCCCAGCAUGGAUUGGGCCAAUCUCGGCCCAUUCAAUCUCUCAUUUUUGUCUGGGCCAGACUGGCCCAGAAUCAAUCUGGCCCAGCGCAAGAAACCCAUCGAGAGGGGAAUUAUUUUUCCCCUCCUAUCAAUUCUACAUGCAGGAGGAAAACGCCACGAGAAAAAAAUGCAGGGAGAAGACUUUACCUGGCGUGGAGGAGGUGGUCGUUGGUGGUGCUGCGAUGGAGGCCGGUGGCGGUGUCGUGGCUCACGGACGGCGGCUCCAAGCGGCGGUGCUGCUGUUUCAAACGGCGGAGGGUGAGGAUACUGCUCUUCCUUUCUCCUCCGUAUGGCUUCCUCUUCUUUCGUUUUUGGUGGUUUCCUCAGUUCGGGUUUGCUAGUUGUUCUUUUUGGUUCGGUUCUUUCCCUCCUUUUCCUAUGUUUUCUCUUUUUUUUUCUUUCGGUUUGUUCCUUCUCUUCCCUCUCUACUGAUCGUUCUCUCUCUUCGGGUUUUCUCCUUUCUUUCCCCUCUCUCUAUUCGAGCCUCUCUUUUCGUUUUCUUUUUUUUCCUCUUUUUUCCUCCCCCUCGCGUGCUGGCGUCCAGUCUUCAUUUAUAUGGGGCAAGGGAGCGGGGGCGUCGCUAUUGCCACCCUAUGGCAGCGCACGGGGAGCAGGGCUUUGCUGCCCUGCCACAGCGCCGGGCUGGCUGGCCAGUGGGCGUGGCUGGUAGGGCGCGGCUCCCUCGACUUUUCAUCAUGAGAGCGCAUGGGGGGGCGGUUUUGGCAGAUGUGGCAUGUCGGGUUCAACGACGAAAGAAGAAAAAAUUGCCUUCCCCUGCUGCACGUCCAGGGGAAGAGAUAGGGAACAGUGUCGUUCAAAACGACACUAUUCUGUUUUUUUUUUUUUUAACAUGAAACGGCGCCAUUUUAGACAAAACGCGCCGUUUCAUUUAAAUCAAAAAGGGGCGCCGAAAGGCGUCAUUGUCCAAGUCAGUCCUUAAUUAUAUUUUGUUCAUUUCAAUUGCAUCCCUUCCAAUUUCGGUCGCCACCCCUAUAUUUGUCCGCGUUUUUCACUUCAAUCCUUGGCCUCUGAUUUAUGCAAUUUGACCCUCAAUUAAUCAAUAAACUUCCAAUUUCUUCAAUUUAGCCCAUGAUUUUGUUAAUUACAACCCCUAUAUUUACACGCCUUUUCCAAUUUGGUCCUUGGUUUCGGAUAUUCUCAAUUCAGUCCCUAAUUGGCCAUUAAAGUUCAAUAUUUAUGCAAUUAAGCCCUUGAUUUGACCAAAUCAAUUCCUAAAAAUUAUAAUUUGACCCCAGAACUUUAAUUUCUUCCAAUUAAAGCCCAAAUUGACAUAAAAAUCAAUUUUUCUUGCAAUCAAAACCUCUAUAAAUUCAAUUAAACUUGCAAUAAAAUCCAAUUAAGUCCAUAAACAUCCAAUUUUGAACUUUUCUCUUCAAAUUGAAUUUUUUUCUUUUCCAACUGGGCUUUCAUCAUUCAAGGAUACACUGUCAAAAUUUCAAUCUUUGUAUUUUUAACCUCCUAUUAUUUUUUUAUUUUUUUAAUUUCUUCCGGCUAUAUAUAUAUAUAUAUAUUUAUUAUUAUUAUUAUUUAUUACUUUUAUUAUUUAUUUUGAUUUUUAUUAUUUUUGUUAUUAUUAUAUUUUUUAUUUAUUUUUAUUUUUAUUUUUAUUUUUGUGUGGGGACCCAAAAAUGGGUUACAACAUCGAUGUUGAAGAUGCACUAUUUACUUUUUCAAAGAGAUGAUUGGAUUAAAAGAAAAAAAAAGAAGAAGGUAAAAUGUAAGGUGAUUUUGAAUUUUAUAUAAAAAGUUUAUCGUGGUUUUUUAUAUAUUUAUUUUUAUAGAUGAUUGGUCCGAAAUUAAAUUUAGAUAUCAAUUUUUUUUUUAGUUUUUUUUUAAGAGGAAAGGACUAUUGGAUUAGUAGAGAGAGAAAAAAUAAUUAUUAACGAUUAUUCUAGCCAUAAAAAAUAAUUAAAAUUGGUGUUAAUAGAUUAUAUUUUUUACAACGAUAUUUAGUUGACGGAUUCGGCGAAAAAACAAACUAUGCGUAGUUUGUUGUCUUCAUUCUCGAGGGUUGGGUUGGAAGGCUUACGUGUUUGUAUUGCUUUUAUUUUUUUUUAUUUUUUGAUAUUUUAUAUUUUAAUUAAAAAAUUAAUAAAAAAUUUAUUAAAUUCAAUCAAAUUCAUGAGGAGUUUCUGCUUCUCAAAAAAAAAAAAAAAAUCAUCUCUUAUUAAUGAUGAUCUAUUUUUUUAACUCCAACUUAAAAUAGUGCAAUUUUAAUUUUACUAUUAUUAUCAAUAAUAUACUUUUGCUAUAUUAGCACCACGUCCCUAUCAUGAUUUUUUUACUUAACAAAAAAUAUUUCAUACAAAAAAAUUAUCAUGUGCUUUAUUGUUUUUAUUGUUAUGUAAUUAAAUGAAAAAUAAUUUUUGGAAUCAAAAAAUUAUUGAAUUUGAUGACUAACAUGAUUUGCUUUGUGAGUUUGACUGGCCGAGUCGAGUUGAUUUAAGUUUUUAAAUUAAAUACUAUUUUUUUAACCGAUUUUGUUCUUCAACAUUGAGUUAAUUUAAGAUUAAGCUUUUAAUUUGUUUUUUUAUUUUAUUUUUCAGAUUAUCCCUACAACUUUUAUAUCACAUCCAUGUUAAUUUAGGUAAAUCAAAUAUUUUUUUUUAUCUUAAUAUUAAAUAAAAAUAUCGUUCAAUUCAUAAUUAAAAUCUAGUUUUUUAGAAGACACAUCACUAAUAUUUAAAUAAUUUUUUUGUUUUUAAUUUAAAAUCUGCUCCAAACCCACGGCAUAGGGCGGUAGUUCAAAGCUCCGUAAAAGGAAUUCACAAGUUAGAGCAAAUAUUUGGAGUAAUUAUUCAUAAUCUUUCGUAAAAUAGGUAAACCAAUUUAUUUUCUGAUCACAGUCCAUGUCGUUUCCAUAUCAACAUUAUGCAUCACGAGUCAUUUUUGCUUUUUUUGAACCCCUUGCAACUAAAGUUAUUAAAUUGGAUAUGCUAAUAACUUAUUUUAAGAUUUGGACUAAACAAGUUAAUUUAAAUUGUUUUUAUUAAUUAAAAUAAUAUUAUUUAAUUUAUUUUUUAAAAUUAAAUUAAGUUUGAAACUAAUUCAAUCAUGUGAUAAUUUGAUCCAUCAUAUAGUUUAACUAAGUUAAUUAUCAUCUACUUUUUUAAAAAAUUAACUUGAUUCAGGUUUAAUAAUAAUUAUCAAAACUUGAGAACUGUUUUUUCCUUAAGUUUUACUUAUUUAUUUAUCUUUUUAGUGAUAUAUAAAUCGUUAAAAAAUAAUAUAAAUUAUAUCCUGGAAUUUUGCCUAACCGAUUAAGCUAUUAAGUUAAGAUGGUUUUUUGAUAUAGUAUCAGAGCGUUGAUGAUCAAGCGGUCACGAGUUCGAAUCUCACCAUCCCUAUUUAUUUAAUAAAAAUCAAACACAAGAUAAUAUGAGUUUGUGCAAGUUUCAAGUCCAAAUGACUUUUAUUUGAGGAGGUGUCAAUUUAAACUAUUAAAUUGAAAUAAUUUUUUUGAAACGGAAGGAUUCACAAUUAUUGUGUUCAUGAUGUGAUCCUAUACUUUUUCCUGUUUUUGAGUAGAUGACUAGAUAAAAUUUAUUUAAAAAAAAAAAUCAAAACGACAUUGUUUUAGUAAAAAAGAAAACAAAAAAAAUAAAAGCCAAUAAGUUUGUGGCCGGGUCUUUACCAGAUCUUUCCAGGUCAGCCGGAUCACACCAAAUUUUUCCUUUCUUUAUUUUUUUUUCAACCCGGUCCGGUUUCGUUCCCGGAUCGACCUACCAGGUCAUCAGGUUUCAAAACUAUGUCGAAGGUUACCACCUUUGGUUUUUUAUCUCUAUUUUUUAAAUGACCAAGUUGUAUUCCAAUAAUUAAAGGGGAAAUAGAGACCACUUGUCUUAUAAAAAAUACCGUUGGCUUUUGCUGGUUUCCUCACUCAAAACCACCACGAAGAAGCCUUGAGCCUCUGGUUUUUCUCCUACAAUUUUGGUACACACUCACCUAUAUAACCAAACCCCUUUACUCCCAUUUACUUCAUCAAAUCAUAACUCCUGAUAUCUUAAUCUCUCCAAAUCCCACUUCAAAGAGUUUCCAGCUCGUUGGUUCUAUAUUACAGUAACACAGAAAAUGAGUUCAGCAAGCAAAGCUUGGUUGGUUGCAGCAGCUGUUGGAGGAGUCGAGGCCUUGAAAGACCAAGGGUUCUGUAGGUGGAACUAUACCUUGAGAUCGCUACACCAACAUGCCAAGAACCAUGUCAGAUCAGCCUCUCAGGCCAAGAAGCUUUCUUCUUCAUCUUCUGCUAUGAUCUCGAAUAAAAUCAAGGAAGUGAAAGCAAAACAGUCUGAGGAAUCUCUAAGAAAAGUCAUGUAUUCGAGCUGUUGGGGUCCUUACUAAGCAAAGAAGCUAGAACAGAUUGAGGAAGUUAUCGUGAUAGGAUUAUCCUGAUUGUUGCAAGUUGAUGUAAAUUGAUUCGUAAAUAUUGUUGCUGAC
rnacentral:lncRNA from 1 species